AAGGAUUUAAGUUAACAUAAACUAACAACCUUCAAAGUUGUAAACAGAGUAAACCCCUUUAAGCCUUA
rnacentral:tRNA from 1 species